rnacentral:rRNA from 1 species
AUUGAACGCUGGCGGCAGGCUUAACACAUGCAAGUCGAGCGGGGGAAGGUAGCUUGCUACCGGACCUAGCGGCGGACGGGUGAGUAAUGCUUAGGAAUCUGCCUAUUAGUGGGGGACAACAUCUCGAAAGGGAUGCUAAUACCGCAUACGUCCUACGGGAGAAAGCAGGGGAUCUUCGGACCUUGCGCUAAUAGAUGAGCCUAAGUCGGAUUAGCUAGUUGGUGGGGUAGAGGCCUACCAAGGCGACGAUCUGUAGCGGGUCUGAGAGGAUGAUCCGCCACACUGGGACUGAGACACGGCCCAGACUCCUACGGGAGGCAGCAGUGGGGAAUAUUGGACGAUGGGGGGAACCCUGAGCCAGCCAUGCCGCGUGUGUGAAGAAGGCCUUAUGGUUGUAAAGCACUUUAAGCGAGGAGGAGGCUACUUUAGUUAAUACCUAGAGAUAGUGGACGUUACUCGCAGAAUAAGCACCGGCUAACUCUGUGCCAGCAGCCGCCGUAA